GAUGAAGAACGUAGCGAAAUGCGAUAAGUAGUGUGAAUUGCAGAAUUCAGUGAAUCAUCGAAUCUUUGAACGCACAUUGCGCCCCUCGGUAUUCCGUGGGGCAUGCCUGUUCGAGCGUCAUUAUCACCCCUCAAGCCUAGCUUGGUGUUGAGGCCUGCUGUCAAGGCAGCCUCUAAAAUCAGUGGCAGUGCUGUCAGGCUCUAAGCGUAGUAAAUCUAAUCGCUAUAGACACCUGGUGGACACUCGCCAGAACCCCCCCAUUUUUUAAUGAUUGACCUCGGAUUAGGUAGGGAUACCCGCUGAACUUAAGCAUAUCAAUAAGCGGAGGA
rnacentral:misc_RNA from 1 species